rnacentral:rRNA from 1 species
UACGUAGGGUGCGAGCGUUAAUCGGAAUUACUGGGCGUAAAGCGUGCGCAGGCGGUUUUGUAAGCCAGAUGUGAAAUCCCCGGGCUUAACCUGGGAAUGGCAUUUGGGACUGCAAGGCUGGAGUGUGGCAGAGGAGACUGGAAUUCCCGGUGUAGCAGUGAAAUGCGCAGAUAUCGGGAGGAACACCAAUGGCGAAGGCAGCUCGCUGGGACGGUACUGACGCUGAGACGCGAAAGCGUGGGGAGCAAACAGG